rnacentral:rRNA from 1 species
CCUACGGGAGGCAGCAGGGAGGAAUAUUGGUCAAUGGGCGCGAGCCUGAACCAGCCAAGUAGCGUGAAGGAUGACGGCCCUACGGGUUGUAAACUUCUUUUAUAAAGGAAUAAAGUGAGGCACGUGUGCCGUGUUGUAUGUACGUUAUGAAUAAGGAACGGCUAACUCCGUGCCAGCAGCCGCGGUAAUACGGAGGAUCCGAGCGUUAGCCGGAUUUAUUGGGUUUCAAGGGAGCGUAGUGGUGUUGUUAAGUCAGUUGUGAAAGUUUGCGGCUCAACCGUAAAAUUGCCAUUGAUACUGGCAGUCUUGUGUACAGUUGAGGUAGGCGUCAUUCGUGGUGUAGCGG